GUUAAAAGCUAGGGCUAGGACUUGGACGAUGUGUAGGCAAACGGAAGGAGAGCCGGGGGAAGAAAAACCGAAAUGGAUUCAUUCUCUGUCCUGGACGGAGGAGGAGAGGAGAGGAGAAGGGGACGUGCGAGCUUCCUUCAACUGCCUCUGUCCGGUGGAAAGUGCUCAGAGCCCCGAGGCUGAGCCGGGCUCGGGCGUCGGCGCGGACUUUCGCUCCAAGCUGCCAAUCAACCCGCUAACUAGCCACCACCCUGCUCUGGCACCGACAU
rfam:Colius striatus contig89633, whole genome shotgun sequence.